CCUACGGGGGGCAGCAGUGGGGGAUAUUGCACAAUGGGGGAAACCCUGAUGCAGCAACGCCGCGUGUGGGAAGACGGUCCUCUGGAUUGUAAACCACUGUCCCCAGGGACGAAGAUGACGGUACCUGGGGAGGAAGCGCCGGCUAACUACGUGCCAGCAGCAGCGGUAAUACGGAGGGAGCAAGCGUUGUCCGGAAUUACUGGGUGUACAGGGAGCGUAGGCCGGAUGGCAAGUUGGGUGUUUAAUCUACCGGCUCAACUGGUAGUCGAACUCCAAACUGCUAUUCUUGAGUGAAGUAGAGUCUGGCUGAAUUCCUAGUGUAGCGGUGAAAUGCGUAGAUAUUAGGAGGAACACCAGUGGCGAAGGCGGCCUGCUGGGCUUUUACUGACGCUGCGGCUCGAAAGUGUGGGGAGCAAACAGGAUUAGAUACCCUAGUAGUC
rnacentral:rRNA from 1 species